GCCCGCGUAGCUCAGGCGGUAGAGCACACCCUUGGUAAGGGUGCGGUCAAGGGUUCGAGUCCCUUCGCGGGCU
rnacentral:tRNA from 1 species